GCCCACAAGGCCUUUACUGACGCUAAAGCUCGAAGGUGCGGGUAUCGAACAGGAUUAGAUACCCUGGUAGUCCGCACGGUAAACGAUGGAUGCCCGCUGUUUGCGAUAUACUGUGAGCGGCCAAGAGAAAUCGUUAAGCAUCCCACCUGGGGAGUACGCCGGCAACGGUGAAACUCAAAGGAAUUGACGGGGGCCCGCACAAGCGGAGGAACAUGUGGUUUAAUUCGAUGAUACGCGAGGAACCUUACCCGGGCUUGAACUGCAGCGGAAGGAAACAGAGAUGUUGACGUCCUUCGGGACCGCUGUGGAGGUGCUGCAUGGUUGUCGUCAGCUCGUGCCGUGAGGUGUCGGCUUAAGUGCCAUAACGAGCGCAACCCCUUUCAUUAGUUGCCAUCACUUCGGGUGGGCACUCUGGUGAUACUGCCACCGUAAGGUGUGAGGAAGGUGGGGAUGACGUCAAAUCAGCACGGCCCGACCGUCGGGGGCUACACACGUGUUACAAUGGGUGAUACAGAUGGCCGGUGCAUGGCAAUGUGCAUCAAAUCUUGAAAGUCAUCCUCAGUUCGGAUUGGGGUCUGCAACCCGACCCCACGAAGCGGAU
rnacentral:rRNA from 1 species